GCACACAACUCAAACUACUAGUAUUUACAUUCAAAGAAAUCUAGAGCUAUAGCAAUAUUUAUGCAAUUUAAUACUCUUGUGGGCUUUUAUUUAUACACCCACUCACCCACAGCUUAACUUCUCAACAAGCUAGGCACAUUGGCACAAAUUGACAGCUUAGCCCAGCCCAUUAAGUUGCACUGCACCCUACUGGGGCUAUGGUGGCGUGAUGAUUGCACCACCGACUUUGGUCCUGCAAUUGUCAGAACAAGGGCAUUCUGGGUGAGAUUGUGGGCGGUUCAAUUAUCACCACUUCAAUGACACCAAAGAGUUGGUCAACACUCAGUUUUCUCCAGAGGGAGUGUUGACAGGCUGUCUGGGGAUUAGCCUCAAACACAACCCUCCAGUCAUAAGGUGACUGCCAGAGAGCCUUUUGCUCAAUCAGAUUGUGCUGCAUUGAACUGUACCAGCUACAGAGAAAAUAUACAUUUCAUGGGUUGUGAAUCUAAUAUUAUACAAUACUAUAUCACAGGUAGUUG